AUUGAAGUGAUGCUACUUUCCCCAUAUGAUCGAAGCAGAUUCAAACUUGCGCUAUUUUUAAUUUCCAAGCCAGAACUCUGAUCUUU
rfam:Prunus persica cultivar Lovell chromosome G3, whole genome shotgun sequence.